rnacentral:rRNA from 2 species
GUCGACGAGUUCUGAUUAUUGAAAGGUGCUUGCAUCUUGAUUUAAUUUUGAACGAGUGGCGGACGGGUGAGUAACACGUGGGUAACCUGCCCUUAAGUGGGGGAUAACAUUUGGAAACAGAUGCUAAUACCGCAUAAAUCCAAGAACCGCAUGGUUCUUGGCUGAAAGAUGGCGUAAGCUAUCGCUUUUGGAUGGACCCGCGGCGUAUUAGCUAGUUGGUGAGGUAACGGCUCACCAAGGCAAUGAUACGUAGCCGAACUGAGAGGUUGAUCGGCCACAUUGGGACUGAGACACGGCCCAAACUCCUACGGGAGGCAGCAGUAGGGAAUCUUCCACAAUGGACGCAAGUCUGAUGGAGCAACGCCGCGUGAGUGAAGAAGGCUUUCGGGUCGUAAAACUCUGUUGUUGGAGAAGAAUGGUCGGCAGAGUAACUGUUGUCGGCGUGACGGUAUCCAACCAGAAAGCCACGGCUAACUACGUGCCAGCAGCCGCGGUAAUACGUAGGUGGCAAGCGUUAUCCGGAUUUAUUGGGCGUAAAGCGAGCGCAGGCGGUUUUUUAAGUCUGAUGUGAAAGCCCUCGGCUUAACCGAGGAAGUGCAUCGGAAACUGGGAAACUUGAGUGCAGAAGAGGACAGUGGAACUCCAUGUGUAGCGGUGAAAUGCGUAGAUAUAUGGAAGAACACCAGUGGCGAAGGCGGCUGUCUGGUCUGUAACUGACGCUGAGGCUCGAAAGCAUGGGUAGCGAACAGGAUUAGAUACCCUGGUAGUCCAUGCCGUAAACGAUGAAUGCUAGGUGUUGGAGGGUUUCCGCCCUUCAGUGCCGCAGCUAACGCAUUAAGCAUUCCGCCUGGGGAGUACGACCGCAAGGUUGAAACUCAAAGGAAUUGACGGGGGCCCGCACAAGCGGUGGAGCAUGUGGUUUAAUUCGAAGCAACGCGAAGAACCUUACCAGGUCUUGACAUCUUUUGAUCACCUGAGAGAUCAGGUUUCCCCUUCGGGGGCAAAAUGACAGGUGGUGCAUGGUUGUCGUCAGCUCGUGUCGUGAGAUGUUGGGUUAAGUCCCGCAACGAGCGCAACCCUUAUGACUAGUUGCCAGCAUUUAGUUGGGCACUCUAGUAAGACUGCCGGUGACAAACCGGAGGAAGGUGGGGAUGACGUCAAAUCAUCAUGCCCCUUAUGACCUGGGCUACACACGUGCUACAAUGGAUGGUACAACGAGUUGCGAGACCGCGAGGUCAAGCUAAUCUCUUAAAGCCAUUCUCAGUUCGGACUGUAGGCUGCAACUCGCCUACACGAAGUCGGAAUCGCUAGUAAUCGCGGAUCAGCACGCCGCGGUGAAUACGUUCCCGGGCCUUGUACACACCGCCCGUCACACCAUGAGAGUUUGUAACACCCGAAGCCGGUGGCGUAACC